rnacentral:rRNA from 1 species
UCUAUCAGCAGGGAAGAAAGACUCGUAAGAGAGAUGACGGUACCUGACUAAGAAGCCCCGGCUAACUACGUGCCAGCAGCCGCGGUAAUACGUAGGGGGCAAGCGUUAUCCGGAUUUACUGGGUGUAAAGGGAGCGCAGACGGUCAAGCAAGUCUGAAGUGAAACCCCACGGCUCAACCGUGGGCUUGCUUUGGAAACUGUCAGGCUAGAGUACUGGAGAGGUAAGCGGAAUUCCUAGUGUAGCGGUGAAAUGCGUAGAUAUUAGGAGGAACUUCGGUGGCGAAGGCGGCUUACUGGACAGCAACUGACGUUGAGGCUCGAAGGCGUGGGGAGCAAACAGGAUUAGAUACCCUGGUAGUCCACGCGGUAAACGAUGAAUAC